AGGACGAACGCUGGCGGCGUGCUUAACACAUGCAAGUCGAACGAGGCCCAGUCAGUAGCAAUACUGAUGAAGGCCGAGUGGCGAACGGGUGAGUAACACGUGAGAAACCUAUCCUGGUCUCUGGGAUAACAGUCGGAAACAACUGCUAAUACCGGAUGCCGUCGGAGCGCUGCAUGGCGCACUGACGAAAGGGUUACUGGAUCAGGAGGGUCUCGCGGCCUAUCAGCUUGUUGGUGGGGUAAUGGCCUACCAAGGCAUCGACGGGUAGCUGGUCUGAGAGGAUGAUCAGCCACACUGGGACUGAGACACGGCCCAGACUCUACGGAGCAGCAGUGGGAAUCUGCGCAAUGGCGAAAGCCUGACGCAGCAACGCCGACGUGCGGGAAGAACGGCCCUCGGUUAGUAAACCGCUUUCGAAGAAGGAACGAAACGUGACGGUACUUUCGAGAAGAGGUGCGGCAACUACGUGCCAGCA
rnacentral:rRNA from 1 species